AGAUAAAAUAUGCAUUACAAAAAAAAAAAAAAAUUCCGACAAAAUGUUUACAAUAUUUCAUAAAAUAUAUGUACAUAUACAGAAAAACAAAAUCGUAACAAUAUACAUGAUUCGGAGUAUACAAUAAUAAUAUUUUCAGGCUUAUAUAAUUAUUUGAAGAAAUAAUAAUAAUAAUAAUAGCAAUAUAGGUAUAAUGAAUAUAAUUUUAUGAUAUCGAACAUUUAUAUGAAAUGACACAUUUUUUUUUUUUUAGUGAUAUAAUAAUAUAAUAUAACAAUAGGAGACAAGGAGACAAUUUUCUCAAACAGUUUUUCGCAAAAGUUAAUUUUAUAAAUAUUUCCACAUUAAUUUCCGAUUUGUCAUUUUCCAAAAUACCAUAUUUCCCUAAUAGUCAGUUAUCCCAAUAUGAAUUUAAUAUUUUCCACAUCGACGUAUUUAGGUUUUUUUGUUAAAUUUAAUUUUGUCUUAUGUAAUUUACCCGCCCUCCUCUUUAUUUUGCGAUAUUUUGUUAUAGUAUACGAAUAUUCUACAAAAAAAAAAAAAAAAUAAUAAUAAAAUUGGAUUGUAAAUAUUAAUAAUUGAUUGGAAAAUAGUAAAAUCGGGAGAAUUUAAUUGGGAAACUGACAUAAUAGAGUGUAUCGAUGAUCACAUAUAUAUAUAUAUAUAUAUAUAUAGAUACACUAAACGAUAUUGUUUCAUUUGGUGUCACAAAAGGCGAUAGGAUAAUAACAUUAUAAUAAUAUCAGCUAUUAAUUUCGUAUUUCCACUCCAGGAUUAGUUCCUUGUUUUUUUUUUUUAUAACGAUUGUGAAACCUUAAUAGGAAAAUAAAACGUAAUAAACAUCGAUGCACAUUCCACGGACAUAACAAUAUUGCAUUUUAAAUCGUGUAUUAUGCAAUAUUGAAAUCGUGAAUAUGAAUGUUAACAUUAUAUUAUAAUUGAAUAUUUAUAGCUCAGACAUUGAUCAGUUAUCGACGUGUGUUAUUUUUUAUUCAUGUAUAUUUAUAGGAUAUAUAAAUUAUGUACAUAUUUACAAUUGAAUAAAAUCUGUACAUCGUUUUCACGCAAAACAAUUUAAUAUUAUUAUUACAAUAUAUUUUAUUUUAAUUUGAACAAAAAUGCAAUUUCUUACAUAAAAAGCACGAGGUUAGGUGGCAAGGGGUCCGGGAAAUACACGGACUAUUAAAACCUUUUAGACGAUUCAUGAUACAUUCGGAAUUAUAUUUACAGUGUGCGAUAAUUAAUUUCGAUUGUUUUUUUUUUUUUGGUCUAUCAUGAUGAAAUCUCAUGUAAAAUAAUUUUAAAAAUUGUUUUUCUCAUUUCCUUAUAUACAGAUAUAUUAUUGUAAAUAUGUUUUAAUUUUUUUAAUUUUAAUCCAACAACUGGUUAUAAAUGUAUGUAAACACGAUUUAUUGAUAAACCGAGAUAUAUUAUUGCAGUAUAAUGAUUCAAAAUAUUAUCGCCAAAUAAUCAAUAACUUCAUUUACACACGGCUGCUUAUCGCUCUGCAUUACAUAAACACGAGAUAGAAUGUCACUAACGGUUACUAUAUUAUUCGGAAAUUCGAAUUUGAUAUCGUUUUGAAAUUUUUCACGAAAUGGUAGUGUAAUUAUGUAAAUAUCGUCAAAAAGAUUCUUAAUCGAUUUUAUAAUAACUAGAAAAUAACCCCGAAAAAUAAAAUUUAAGUACAAUUUUUGUUGAUGAUAUUAUAAGUAGUAGGUAGUUCAAGAAAGAUGAAAAAAAAAAUAUCACCGUAUAUUAUACAGGUAUAAAUAUAUUCUACGUUUCAGCGACUCUAUCGUUUAUUUACGAAAAUGUCAAGCAAAUUUGAAUUUUUAUUUUCUUCAGUCAUUUAAGGAAUUUCAUUUUAACUUCUAUAUUUUCAAUAUUUACCAUUUUUCACCAAAACAUAUUUCACAUUUUCACAUUUGUUCGAAGGAUUUGAAAAACGAAAAUGUUUGCUAAAAAUGUCGAUCUUAUAAUACAAAUUUUGGCCGAAAGUAUGGAAAAGGAUAAAUGUAUGCUUAUCUGAUCAAAUAUUAGGAACAAGUAUAUUUGAAAAUCAAUGUUUGAUAUUUAUGUGCGUUUUGGCGUACAUCGCACUCGUAUAUAAUGAUGAAAUCUCGAAAAUAUUGUGAACUAGACGGUUGCACGACUCGUUAAUAACUGAUGGACAAAAAUUAAAAUCAGAUUAAUUAUCGUAGACAAUAAUCGCUGAUUGUUAGAAAUAAUAAUAAUAAUAAUAAUAAAAAAACCUUACUGUAUAUAAAAUAUAUGGCUAAUUAAUACUAAUCUUGAAUACAACACUAUUAUUAGUCUUUGCUAAUCGUUAUAAUUUCCGUACAAUUAGCAAAUAAUUGUACUAUUACCAUUGAUUUGUUCCAACACAGAAUUCGGAAAUAGAUGUUGACCAAUCAGUGAUUGAUUUGUUGCGCAUACGCUACCGUGGUCUGAUCAUGAUGAACAGAUGACAAAUUCGAAUGCAAAUUCCAUUGAUAAAAAUAUCAAAUAUAUGAUUCCGGAGUCUCUCACUACCAGUUUCUCAUCCAAAUCCGCGGAUUAUUUCGGCUAUCAGAAACCGAUCCUUAAACUGGUCUAAUACUUAAUGUGACGGAAGUUGGAACAAUUGUUGGACAGUUUGAGUGUGCCUUCCUGACGCGUUGGAACGGCAAAACUCUACUGCGUAUGCGCCCCUAGCGGGUUCUGUGAUAGUUUAACCAUGUGUUAAAACAAGCCUGACAAAUAUUGUAUUAUAAACCGAUUUUAUAUAAUAUGUAAAAGCAAGUAUGGUAAUAAUUGUAUUAAUUACUCUGAUAAAUACGGUUUAUGCGCCCGAUCGGCAAGUGGCAAUUUUUAAGAUGAUAUUAUUACGAUUAUAUUUGUACCGAGGAUCGCAUUAAUCGCAACGGAAAUAAUAUAACGAUUUCGUUUCGAUCGGAAAAUGUACUAUGAAAAAUGCGAACAUCAUUAAUCAUAAUUUUUAUACGCACGACGACGACGACAGCGGCGGCGGUACCAUUGCUGUAAUUUUGACAAAACAUUUUAAUUAGUCGAAUAUAAAUAAAAUAAAUAAACGGUUUUUUUUUUUACCAUAAUUUAACUAUCAUCUAUGUCUACGAAGAUUUUCAGUAAAAUAUAUUGAUUAUAGAAUCAUCUUUAUAUAUUCAAAAUGGCACCUUUUUCUAUACAUGGUAUACACCGCACACCUAUUAAUUCUCUUGACCAUAAAAUUGCAAACAACUGCUCUUUCCCUUUCAAAACCAUAUUCGAAGGGAGAAUAUUUAGAUGUUCGAAUAUUGAUAAUAUGAAAAACAUUAAUAUGGGAUAUAGGCCGUUUAUAAGUUGCAACAGUUUAAAUUUGAUUCCACUUUAGUGUACAGUUAUUAUCUAACGAUGAAUAUAAAAUUAAUUACCCUUCUUUACUCAUUCUGUCGAUAUUCUAAACUGUUAUAAUUUAGAAACUGUACAUUGGAUACUAGUGUUAUGCAUAUUGACGGUUUUAGAAAAAAUAUAUUUUUUUUUUCGAAUCUGUAUUGCAAAUUGGGAGGGGGAAGUUAAUAUUUGAAAAUCAAAAGUUGAUCAUGUAUGUAUUGUCCAUGUAAAAAUUAUGGAUAGCAAGUUUAAAAAUAGCGUUGAAAUAAAGCCGAAACAAUUCUUUAAAAUUCAAGAAUCUGAAAAAAUCGCUGUAUCACCGACACACAAAAAAAAAAAAAAACAUAUUUUAUAUCACACUGUUUAAUAAUAUUAUGAUUUAGAGAAUUAUAUUUUUUUUUUGUUUGAAAAACACAUGGUUACAAUAAUUCCAGUAUAACCGAAUUCCCUAUACCUAUACGCAUCAUCUUGCGACCUCACCGACAUACCGUGUUCGACCGAUCGAAAACGUGACGGAAUAAUAUUAUACCUACGCUCCUGACAACGAUUAGUCAAUUGACUCUAUUCGAUUUAAUAACAUAAUAUUGAGUUUAACAGUCGGUUGGUUAGCCGUUUAUUUGUUUAUUUAUUUUUUCUUUUCGAACAUGACGUGCACCGAACUAAUUAAUGACGUCUUAGUAAUGCGAAAUAAAUGAAAGUGUACGAGAAAAUUGCCUGGACGUUCGUAUUAAAAAGUAUAAUAAUAAUAGUACUGCCACAUUAUAUGCUCACAACGAAGAGAAAAGUUAUUAUUAUUAUUAUUUUCGUUUGCCAACGAUAAUUUCUUAUUUAUUGUUUCGUCCUCGAGGCGAACUAAGUUCAAAUAAACCACCCCCGAGCGGUUUCGGAAAUAUAUUUUGAAAUAAAAAAGACAGAUCGAUUUUGCAGUCGACGUAGAUUUUUAUCGAAAACAAUAAUAUACCUACUACAAUUGAUACGGUUCAAUGAUGGUUUUCGAUUAAAAUAAUAUAGGAACGGUGGCUGAGUUGAUUAUUUUCCUACGGGAUUACGGUAUUCUUAUGUAUUACGAUAAUUAAUUUAAAUCGAUAAAAUACUUAGGCAUAUUAGUUUAUAUGUAGGUUCUAUUUAUAUUGUCUAGAAAGUAAAAUAACAAAUUACAAACAUACCCUUAGAUCAGCGGUUCUCAACCUUUGGUACGUGGAAAGCUUGUACGUGGCACGAGAAGAAAUGUUUUAAUAAACGAAAAAAAAAAAAUGUUAUUAGUUACAAAUUUAUAAAGUAGUUCAUUAAUUCAUAAAUAAUAGCAAAAAUAAUAACUGUACGCAUUUUAUACAGUUUUAAUUUUAUUUUUAUGUUUGUGUUAAAUACUUAUAAUAUAAUAAGGUAGCUGACGAGGCAUAUCCCACAGGAGGUAUGCAGUUGAAAGCGGUAUACACCAAGAGUGCAAAUGGUAUUGGUUAACCCACGCAAUAUUCAUUUAUGCCAUGACAUAUAUCGCGAUGAUACAAAAUCAAUAUUUGUUAUUAAUUUCAAUUAUUUUUAACAUAUAAUUCACGACAUAAAAAAAUAUUAUAUGGAUUAUAACCAUUAAAUUUUGCAUGGUUUUUAUAUAUUACCGCCAAGCUUUAGAUUUAAUCAUAAUAAUAUACAGUCGGCUGUCCAGCUGUUUUAAAUAUCCUUGAACAAAUGAACACGCAUAACAUUAUAUGUUAUAUUGAAUGCCUUCGUGUAUUAAUCUACGUAAAAUUUGAUCAAAUAUAUUGAUGUUAAUACUGUGUUGGGUUUUAGCUGUGUUCUUUUUUUUUUUUAUUAAAACUGUAGGUACCUGACCAUAUAAUGCAUCUCCAAUAAAUAUAUAGAAUUACUAGCUAUAGUAUAGAUACUCGCGUUACUUCGAAAACACAGCCCACACAUACCGUAGAACAUUGAUAAUAUAUUUGGAAACGAUUUAUUAUUAUUUAUUAUUAUUAGGAAAAGUACCUAAUAAUAAUAUCAUAUAAACUCUAUACAAAUGGAGACGGUACCUAUAAUUAAAAAAAUAAGUAUAUACGCACAAAUAAAAUCAAUAAACAUCCUAAAAUACCAGUGUAAAAAGAAUGUUAGGGCCUUAGGGGUAGGUAUACCUUCACAAUGAAACUGAAAUCUUCUAUCCCCCAAACUUAUUAAACGGUACCUAUAUACACCAACACUAUUUCCAUACGAACAGCACAAAACGCACAAACUUCAAACGAUUUUAAGACCAUGCAGUAAACUUUGUAAUAUUAUGUGUGUUAUGUGUAGUAUACUUGUAUUAUUAUGUAUUAUUAUAUGCGUUAGAUACCGUUGUCGGAUACUAGUCAUGAAUUCCUACAUUGCAAAAGAAAAUUCAUUAAUUUCCGAGUUUUUUUUUCCAUAUAAAUCCAAAACCGUGACACCAAUUACAUGAUUUUAUUUCGUAGUGUUUUCUAUUAUAUAUUACUUUAUAUACUUUAUAUGCUUCGAAAUUGCGUUCUUAAAAAUGUUGACUUCAUUAAAACACUAUAUAAUAUAACGACUAAAUGCGAUGAAAUUAAUCGAAAUUGAUAAUAUUAACAUUUUUUUAGCACGUUUAUACAUAUCUGUUGUGCUGGGCUUCCGGCAGUUUUUACCUCGUGGUAAUCCAGAAAAACAAAAAUCCACGAAAGAAGUAAAAAAAUUGUCUGAUACACCCGACACAAUUUUGCACAAAAAUCGAUGAUUAUUUUUGAUCAAUUUCUGACACGAGUCUGCAAAGUGAAUGAAAUUGGUUGUAGCCCUCAGAUGAAGCAAUAUUGGGCAUUGUUACAUUUGAAGUUAUGCUCUAUGACUUCGUUGUUGAACUGACCCCCAUUCCCAUAUUAAUUGUCCGUUGUUGUGUCAUUAUAACAAAAUAAGUAGUUACUGUUGCCCAAGGGCUUAUACACAUUUUAAAUUUGGUACACAAUACAAAAUUAGAUAAAAACAAUUUACUUACUGUAAUUUAUCAC